AUGGAGUUCUUGAUGCAGCCCGUAAAUAGGCAGCAGGACUCUGCUAGAAGAGGUCAACGAGAACAAGAUGAACAUGGAGCCUCUUCAUUACCCUGUGAGUCUGUGACGACGACGCCGGUGGUGGAGUUGCCGGCCAGCACGGAAUCAAGCGCCAACGACCAGAUUUGCACUGAGGGCGCUGUUCCAAGGGCAGGCAGUGCAGACAACCUCAAGCUUCAGAGCACUCCAUCGAGCAGGGUCCGGGUUGGGGCAGCUGAGCUAGGUAGAGCCCCAUGUGCUGAUAGGAGGAUAUCAGGGCUGGAGAAAAUUGUUCAAAGGAGACAGAGUGCAUGGUGCCACAGCUAA
rnacentral:rRNA from 1 species